CUACGGGAGGCAGCAGUGGGGAAUAUUGGACAAUGGGCGAAAGCCUGAUCCAGCCAUGCCGCGUGAGUGAUGAAGGCCCUAGGGUUGUAAAGCUCUUUCAGUGGGGAAGAUAAUGACGGUACCCACAGAAGAAGCCCCGGCUAACUUCGUGCCAGCAGCCGCGGUAAUACGAAGGGGGCUAGCGUUGUUCGGAUUUACUGGGCGUAAAGCGCACGUAGGCGGAUUGUUAAGUCGGGGGUGAAAUCCCAGGGCUCAACCCUGGAACUGCCUUCGAUACUGGCAAUCUUGAGUCCGGAAGAGGUGAGUGGAACUCCUAGUGUAGAGGUGGAAUUCGUAGAUAUUAGGAAGAACACCAGUGGCGAAGGCGGCUCACUGGUCCGGUACUGACGCUGAGGUGCGAAAGCGUGGGGAGCAAACAGGAUUAGAAACCCGGGUAGUCC
rnacentral:rRNA from 1 species